GGUUUCCGGACGACGAUUGCAAUUACUUGGGGCAUUUGAGGGAGAUUAGGAAUGUGGGCGGGGGUUCCGCUUUCUAUCAGAAUCCUAAGGCUAGGCUUGAUCUGGUCCCGAAAGAUGUCAAGUGGACCUUCCAUCCUUCUAUUUUGAAGACCAAAAAAAUCUACACUGUUCUUGUCUGGUGCAGGGUCUUAGCUUUUCUUGUUGCUUCUCAGAUUCUUUGGAUCAUCACAUUUUAUUCUACACAGCUUCCAAGUCCCAAUUAUCAGUGCCGUGAGGUAGGGUCUCUCAUUUUUUUUUAUAGAAGUUUGUUCUGGCCAUUCACAAAUAUUUGUCAUCUUU